GGCUCCAUAGUUCAAGGGAUAGAACGGAAGUUUCCUAAACUUCAGAUACAGGUUCGAGUCCUGUUGGGGCUA
rnacentral:tRNA from 5 species